rnacentral:rRNA from 1 species
UAUGCUUAACACAUGCAAGUCGAACGGCAGCACGAGAGAGCUUGCUCUCUUGCUGACGAGUGGCGGACGGGUGAGUAACGCGUAAGAAUCUGCCUAGUAGUGGGGGAUAACUCGGGGAAACUCGAGCUAAUACCGCAUACGCCCUACGGGGGAAAGUGGGGGACCUUCGGGCCUCACGCUAUUAGAUGAGCUUGCGUUGGAUUAGCUAGUUGGUGAGGUAAUGGCUCACCAAGGCGACGAUCCAUAGCUGGUCUGAGAGGACGAUCAGCCACACUGGGACUGAGACACGGCCCAGACUCCUACGGGAGGCAGCAGUGGGGAAUAUUGGACAAUGGGCGCAAGCCUGAUCCAGCAAUACCGCGUGUGUGAAGAAGGCCUGCGGGUUGUAAAGCACUUUCAAUUGUGAAGAAAAGCUUGGGGUUAAUAGCCCCGAGUCUUGACGUUAACUUUAGAAGAAGCACCGGCUAACUCUGUGCCAGCAGCCGCGGUAAUACAGAGGGUGCGAGCGUUAAUCGGAAUUACUGGGCGUAAAGCGUGCGUAGGCGGUUUAGUAAGUCAGAUGUGAAAGCCCUGGGCUUAACCUGGGAACUGCAUUUGAAACUGCUGAACUAGAGUGUGGUAGAGGGAAGUGGAAUUCCGGGUGUAGCGGUGAAAUGCGUAGAUAUCCGGAGGAACACCAGUGGCGAAGGCGACUUCCUGGACCAACACUGACGCUGAGGUACGAAAGCGUGGGUAGCAAACAGGAUUAGAUACCCUGGUAGUCCACGCCGUAAACGAUGUCAACUAGUUGUUGGGAGCAUUCUGGCUUUUAGUAACGUAGCUAACGCGAUAAGUUGACCGCCUGGGGAGUACGGCCGCAAGGUUAAAACUCAAAGGAAUUGACGGGGGCCCGCACAAGCGGUGGAGCAUGUGGUUUAAUUC